rnacentral:rRNA from 1 species
AGCUACAGGCUUAACACAUGCAAGUCGAGGGGCAUCAGGAAGAAAGCUUGCUUUCUUUGCUGGCGACCGGCGCACGGGUGAGUAACACGUAUCCAACCUGCCCUUUACUCGGGGAUAGCCUUUCGAAAGAAAGAUUAAUACCCGAUGGCAUAAUGAUUCCGCAUGGUUUCAUUAUUAAAGGAUUCCGGUAAAGGAUGGGGAUGCGUUCCAUUAGGUUGUUGGUGAGGUAACGGCUCACCAAGCCUUCGAUGGAUAGGGGUUCUGAGAGGAAGGUCCCCCACAUUGGAACUGAGACACGGUCCAAACUCCUACGGGAGGCAGCAGUGAGGAAUAUUGGUCAAUGGGCGCUAGCCUGAACCAGCCAAGUAGCGUGAAGGAUGAAGGCUCUAUGGGUCGUAAACUUCUUUUAUAUAAGAAUAAAGUGCAGUAUGUAUACUGUUUUGUAUGUAUUAUAUGAAUAAGGAUCGGCUAACUCCGUGCCAGCAGCCGCGGUAAUACGGAGGAUCCGAGCGUUAUCCGGAUUUAUUGGGUUUAAAGGGAGCGUAGGUGGACUGGUAAGUCAGUUGUGAAAGUUUGCGGCUCAACCGUAAAAUUGCAGUUGAUACUGUCAGUCUUGAGUACAGUAGAGGUGGGCGGAAUUCGUGGUGUAGCGGUGAAAUGCUUAGAUAUCACGAAGAACUCCGAUUGCGAAGGCAGCUCACUGGACUGCAACUGACACUGAUGCUCGAAAGUGUGGGUAUCAAACAGGAUUAGAUACCCUGGUAGUCCACACAGUAAACGAUGAAUACUCGCUGUUUGCGAUAUACAGUAAGCGGCCAAGCGAAAGCAUUAAGUAUUCCACCUGGGGAGUACGCCGGCAACGGUGAAACUCAAAGGAAUUGACGGGGGCCCGCACAAGCGGAGGAACAUGUGGUUUAAUUCGAUGAUACGCGAGGAACCUUACCCGGGCUUAAAUUGCAGUGGAAUGAUGUGGAAACAUGUCAGUGAGCAAUCACCGCUGUGAAGGUGCUGCAUGGUUGUCGUCAGCUCGUGCCGUGAGGUGUCGGCUUAAGUGCCAUAACGAGCGCAACCCUUAUCUUUAGUUACUAACAGGUCAUGCUGAGGACUCUAGAGAGACUGCCGUCGUAAGAUGUGAGGAAGGUGGGGAUGACGUCAAAUCAGCACGGCCCUUACGUCCGGGGCUACACACGUGUUACAAUGGGGGGUACAGAAGGCAGCUAGCGGGUGACCGUAUGCUAAUCCCAAAAUCCUCUCUCAGUUCGGAUCGAAGUCUGCAACCCGACUUCGUGAAGCUGGAUUCGCUAGUAAUCGCGCAUCAGCCACGGCGCGGUGAAUACGUUCCCGGGCCUUGUACACACCGCCCGUCAAGCCAUGGGAGCCGGGGGUACCUGAAGUACGUAACCGCAAGGAUCGUCCUAGGGUAAAACUGGUGACUGGGGCUAAGUA